rnacentral:tRNA from 2 species
GCGGGUGUAGCUUAAUGGUAAAGCCCCAGCCUUCCAAGCUGGUUACGUGGGUCCGAUUCCCAUCACCCGCUCCA